rnacentral:rRNA from 1 species
CCAGACUCCUACGGGAGGCAGCAGUGAGGAAUAUUGGUCAAUGGCCGAGAGGCUGAACCAGCCAAGUCGCGUGAGGGAUGACGGCCCUACGGGUUGUAAACCUCUUUUGUCGGGGAGCAAAGAGAGUCACGUGUGGCUCAUUGAGAGUACCCGAAGAAAAAGCAUCGGCUAACUCCGUGCCAGCAGCCGCGGUAAUACGGAGGAUGCGAGCGUUAUCCGGAUUUAUUGGGUUUAAAGGGUGCGCAGGCGGAAUGUCAAGUCAGCGGUAAAAUUUCGGGGCUCAACCCCGUCGUGCCGUUGAAACUGGCGUUCUUGAGUGAGCGAGAAGUAUGCGGAAUGCGUGGUGUAGCGGUGAAAUGCAUAGAUAUCACGCAGAACUCCGAUUGCGAAGGCAGCAUACCGGCGCUCAACUGACGCUCAUGCACGAAAGCGUGGGUAUCGAACAGGAUUAGAUACCCUGGUA